rnacentral:rRNA from 1 species
UACGAAGGGGGCUAGCGUUGCUCGGAAUCACUGGGCGUAAAGGGUGCGUAGGCGGGUCUUUAAGUCAGGGGUGAAAUCCUGGAGCUCAACUCCAGAACUGCCUUUGAUACUGAAGAUCUUGAGUUCGGGAGAGGUGAGUGGAACUGCGAGUGUAGAGGUGAAAUUCGUAGAUAUUCGCAAGAACACCAGUGGCGAAGGCGGCUCACUGGGCCGGCCCUGACGCUGAGACGCGAAGGCGUGGGGAGCGAACGGG